rnacentral:lncRNA from 1 species
GUAGAUGAGACCCUUCUUAGAAUGCAUGCUACUUAAUGAGUAGCCUGUGUUGAGGUGGAAGUUGACCUUUGUAUUUUGAGGGCAUUAGGAUGCCUCUAUGAUCCAAGAUAGACCUCAAAAUUAUUGGAAGUAAGGCCUAUCCUCGAAGCAAGCCUAUCAAUAGUUGUACCCCAACUAAUUAAGUUAAGCUGUAAAGGUUAUCAAGACAUUGUAGGUCUUGGCCAG